CGUAAAGAACUUGCCUCACAGCUAGGGACAACAUUUAGAAAUGAAUGCUAAUACCUGAUAUUAUUGAUUUUAAGGCAUCUUAGAAUUAUGAAAGCUAUAAGCACUGUGAGAGAGCUUUGCGUCCCAUUAGCUAGUUGGAGAGGUAACAGCUCACCAAGGCGAUGAUGGGUAGCUGGCCUGAGAGGGUGAACGGCCACAAGGGGACUGAGACACGGCCCUU
rnacentral:rRNA from 1 species